UACGAAGGGGACUAGCGUUGUUCGGAAUUACUGGGCGUAAAGCGCACGUAGGCGGAUUUGUUAGUCAGGGGUGAAAUCCCGGGGCUCAACCUCGGAACUGCCUUUGAUACUGCAAGUCUCGAGUCCGAUAGAGGUGGGUGGAAUUCCUAGUGUAGAGGUGAAAUUCGCAGAUAUCAGGAGGAACACCAAUGGCGAAGGCAGCUCGCUGGAACGGUACUGACGCUGAGGCGCGAAAGCGUGGGGAGCAAACAGG
rnacentral:rRNA from 1 species